rnacentral:rRNA from 1 species
UGAGUGGCGACGGGUGAGUAACGCGUGGGCAACCUGGCCUGUACAGGGGGAUAACACUUAGAAAUAGGUGCUAAUACCGCAUAACGGGGGAAGCCGCAUGGCUUUUCCCUGAAAACUCCGGUGGUACAGGAUGGGCCCGCGUCUGAUUAGCCAGUUGGCAGGGUAACGGCCUACCAAAGCGACGAUCAGUAGCCGGCCUGAGAGGGCGGACGGCCACACUGGGACUGAGACACGGCCCAGACUCCUACGGAAGGCAGCAG